rnacentral:rRNA from 1 species
UACGUAGGGUGCGAGCGUUAAUCGGAAUUACUGGGCGUAAAGCGUGCGCAGGCGGUUUUGUAAGCCAGAUGUGAAAUCCCCGGGCUUAACCUGGGAAUGGCAUUUGGGACUGCAAGGCUUGAGUGCGGCAGAGGAGACUGGAAUUCCUGGUGUAGCAGUGAAAUGCGUAGAUAUCAGGAGGAACACCGAUGGCGAAGGCAGGUCUCUGGGCUGACACUGACGCUCAUGCACGAAAGCGUGGGGAGCGA